AUGGGGCCCGAUGUCCCUCUGCUCAAUGACUACAAGCAGGAGUUCUUCUGGAAGCGCUUUCCCCAGACAGUGCUGGGAGGUCCCCGCUUCAAGCUGGGCUACUGUGCCCCGCCAUAUGUCUACAUCCACCAGAUCAUGCUGUUCCUGACGCCCUGGCUCAUAGGCGGUGUGGGCACGCUGCUGCAUCAGUUACAGGUUCUGGAAGAACUCAGUGCCGCCUCCCUUUCCGGAGGGCUUAUGCUGGGGGCUGCCGUGGUUGUCCAGGCGCUGGCGGUGCGAGCAGCGCAGCGGACAGGGCGAGUGGAGCGCAUACACGCAGCCAGCAUCCUGGCGGAAGAGGAGGAGGUGGAGUUUGCAAGUUGUGCUGGCCCCGAGACCGUCCGCUUCCUCAUCCCGGGAAAAAGACUCAUCCCAAACACAGUGCUACAUGCGGUGCUGGCUGGGGUCGUGUGCGGCCUGGGGACAUGGUACCUCCUCCUCAGCAGACUCAGCAGCCUGUAUGGGAGCCAGUGGGCUGCAGGACUGAUCUUCAUUCUAAGCUGGGUGACCCUAUGCAUAGGGGAAUACUCCCUUAUCAUCAACACGGCCCCCGAGACGGCUACCUUUCAGCCACAGGACACCUAUGAGAUCACACCCCUCACCCGCCCGCUCUACAUUUUAAUUUUCAUCGCUGUGGACAUCGCUCAGAGCAGAGUGACGGGCCCCAUUCCAGCGCUGGUGUUAAGCAGUCAGGUGCUCCACGUGCUUUUCCUCCUCUUGCCGCUGCUGUGGGCGCUGGGCAUGCUGUCACCUCUAGAUGCCCUUCUGCUCUGGGGAAUGGAACAGACCUUGGUUUUUGGCUUGGGUGGAUCACCAAUGUCAACUAACUUCAGGCUGCUGGUGAUGUUCAUGGUCUCUGUGUGUGUACCAGUUUGCACCUUCUUCAUCCCUUCCACACUGGGCGUGGUGCUCUUCACCGUAGUCUUGGGCUUCCUACUCAGCCUGGAUUUCAGCCAGGUCGGGGCGCUUCUGUGGGCUUGCAGGAUGGAUGGCCAGUCUGCAGAUCUGUCUGCCAGGUUGCCUUCUUCACUGGGAUGGGGUCUGGGCUGGAGAGAGGUGCUGCUCCACCUGGUCCUGCUGCUCGGGGCUCUGACUGAGGCUGGGCUUCUCCACUACUUCCUGCCCUCCCCCCAGGACUGGUCCGUGGGACCCCAGGCUGUUGCUGGCUACCUCUCACUAAUUCUCUUUGUGAUCAACUGGACUCUCCAAGAGGUCCAGGGUGUGUACCUCCUAGGAGGGGUCUUCCACAACCCUCUUUACCCCAAGGAAACGAUGAACGUGAAGGUGUUCAAGGCGCAGAGUAAAUGCCUUCGGAUGGCUGGGAUGAUUAGGAGAGUGCUGGUCAAUCUCGUGGCACCAUUUGCCAUGAUUGCCUUCCUGGCUAUGGAUGGCUCCCUGCAGGCUCUGCACACGGCAUCCCUCAGUGUGGGUUUCACCCGGGCUUUCAGAGCAGUUUGGCAGAGCACAGAGCACCUGCUGUUCCAGGUGACAGUGGUAGCUGUGGUGCGCCUUUUGGCAAUGGGCUCUGAGCUACCCUGGUGGAAUGACCUUGGGACGGGUGUCCAGCUCAUUCUGGUGAGCUUGGCUAGCGACCGUCUGCUGCAGCUGGCCUCCAAGAUGCGAUUCGCCCUGACGGUGCUGGUGACCUCUUGGACAGAGAAGAAGCAGAGGCGGCAGUGGGUGGGCGCCCUCCUGGCCUUGAACGCCGCAUUCAGUCCCCUGCUGCUGUGCACGCUUAUCCUGUCAGCGCUACUCUCCGCCCCACUGCUCCCGCUCUUCACGCUGCCCGUCUUCCUGGUGGGAUUCCCCCGGCCCCAGCGAUGCUGGCCGGGCUCCGUGGGCACCGCAUGCUCCUGCCCAGACUCCGUCUACUACCAGCAGAUGAGCGGGAGCCUUGCAGCUGCCUUGCGGACCGCUUUUGCCGGGGGAGUGCUAGGCCUUUCCAGUCCUGGGUCACACUUCCUCGGUCGUUUCCAGGAUCGGAUUGUGUGGAUUAAUGUCCUAGAGCGAGGCUUUGGCUACUGCUCGGUUAACAUCAAGGGCUUAGAACUGCAGGAGACCUCGUGCCACACAGCUGAGGCAAGGCGGGUGGAUGAAGUGUUUGAAAGUGCUUUUGAAGCUCCAGAUGGGCUGGGACUCCCCACAGGCCUGAACCUGCACUGGGGCAAUGCAAUGACCCCCUGCGCCGCGCUGCCCAUCUGCACCUAUUCCGACGCCCGAAGUGUGUUGACAGGAAUCAUCGACUCGCACACCAACCUGCACCAACUGAGAGACGACUUCCUGAAGGUCCUCGUAUGGGUGCUCCUUCAGUACUGCGUCCGGGGUGGCAAGGCCUUCGCGGCCGGUCCUGGCUACAAGCCAGAGAGCCGCUUGCAGGACUCUGGGCCCCAGAGCCCACCAGAUGCCCCCUCUCCGGAGUGCCGACAGGACAGCCCCAGCCUGAACUCACUGAGCGACUGGUCCGACGAGGACGACCUGUUCGGUCCGCAGCCUGCCAGGAAGACGACGGCACUGGUGAGUGUAGAGGCUCCCCUGCCAGCUGGUCCAUCGCUUCCUGGGUCCGUGGAGUUAAACAGCCUCUACGGGGAUGUGCCGCUCUCCGCCAUUCAGCCCCUACAGCCACUGGGCCUAGGGCUUCCGGCCAUGGAUCGGGGUCAGGAGAGUGAAGUACCCGGCCUCGUGGGGUUCACCCCUCCCGGGGUGAAAUUUGGCUCACCCCAUGCAGAUCAGUUGGAGCCGCCCCUGGCCUGGAGGACCGCGCCCCUGGCCGCCUCCCGUCCACAGCAGCUGAGGCUGGCUUUCCCUGAGGAGUGGUUCCACUUCGUGUUAGGAAGGCUAGGGCCGGCCAUUCAGAGAGAGACUCCCAAGGCGGUGGCCGAGGCUAUGCGGGAACUGCAUGCGCAGGUGGCCCUGAACUGUUUGGUUGCACUGGGUGCCGAGACCACCACGCCCAGCCCCAGCUACGUGUACAGGGUCUACUGCGGGGAUGUUCCCUGGACUGAAGGCCUUGACUGGCUCACCAGCAACACAGAAUUGUACCAUCUCACGAUUAAAGCGUUCAGGUACAGCUUCAAGCUGCUGUUGGACCAGGCCAGCCUGGGAGCCAUAGGAGGCCCUGAGGAGCUCCUGAGUACCCUGGAGGAAUAUGAACAAGACUGGUACAUCGGCCUGGCAUCGGAGCACGGCUGGCGAGAUGCCGUCCUGCAGGAGAAGCCUUUCCUUUUCUCCCUGGGUUACGACAUCACUAUGGGCACCUACACCGGCCGUGUCCUCACACUGCAGGAGGUUCUGGUGCAGCUGGGCCACCUCAAUGGGGAGGGAGUGCGGGGCCAAUGGGCCAACCUGUCCUGGGAGCUGCUAUACGCCACCAACGAUGACGAGGAGCGCUACAGCAUCCAGGCACACCCCAUGCUCCUGCGCAACCUCACCGUUCAGGCCGCAGACCCACCACUGGGCUACCCCAUCUACUCUUCUGCUCCACUGCACCUGCCCAUCUUCUGAUAGCACAGCACCGGUGAAUCCACUCUGACAACGUGCACCAGCAGUGUUGGGAUGGGGCCGCGCCGGUUUUGAGGCCGUCCAGUCUUCACCCAUUCAGGCAGCACGCAUUAAAGAUUUUUAACUUGAGGAACAUCUUACCCAGGCUUCUUCUGUAAUACCACAAGAGCUCCAGAACAAUCAGGUUGAAUUUUCAUGUCAGAUGGAGUUCAAAGCAAUUUCGUAACCAUGCCCCGCAAGAAUGUAAGUCCCAUGAAACGCACUUCUCACGUCAACACUGACACAUUCAGUUUCACGUCCUCGCCGAACAGAAGGUGCACUUAGAGGCACAAAGCUGUAAAAGAAUGAUCAUGUACUCACACUGAUGAUGGUGUCCAGUCAGAUCUACAUAUGGGCUGUGGUACAGCAACAGUUCCAUAAUAGUUUAGUGUCUUACUACAGAAUUCGUUCCUAUUAACAGAAGAUUCUUAGUGCCAUUUCGAAGCUGUAAGCGACCAUCUUCAUAUAUCAACAAUCAGCCCAGUGCUUCCAGUUUACUGUACGCCAUCUCACAAUCAGCUCCUGUCUCAUUUAAUGGUUCUCAAUCCAGAAAAGGGAUUUUUUUUUUUUUUUAUAGAGGAACAAAGUAUGUGCCUUGGUCUGUUUUUUUGUACUGUUAAUUGCAGGGUUUAGUUAUUUUCAGAGCUGUGUUUUACAGGUGUUUACAGUCAAGGUUUCCUGUAAGAAGUGUCCUAAAUGCCCCUAUUGUUUUAAGCUGUGAUUCCUCUAUACUGUGUAUUGUAUAUAAUUGUAAGACAUACAUGGCUUUUUCACAGAAA